GAUCAUGGCUCAGGAUGAACGCUGGCGGCGUGCUUAACACAUGCAAGUCGAACGAAGCACUUUAUUACAAUUUCUUCGGAAUGACGAUUUAGUGACUGAGUGGCGGACGGGUGAGUAACGCGUGGGUAACCUGCCUUAUACAGGGGGAUAACAGUUAGAAAUGACUGCUAAUACCGCAUAAGCGCACAGGAUUGCAUGAUCUGGUGGUGAAAAACGUCCGGUGGUAUAAGAUGGACCCG
rnacentral:rRNA from 1 species